GGGCGAAUAGCUCAGCUGGUAGAGCAUCGCCCUUACAAGGCGAGGGUCACAGGUUCGAGCCCUGUUUCGCCCACCA
rnacentral:tRNA from 1 species